rnacentral:rRNA from 1 species
UACAGAGGUCUCAAGCGUUGUUCGGAUUCAUUGGGCGUAAAGGGUGCGUAGGCGGCGCGGUAAGUCGGGUGUGAAAUCUCGGAGCUUAACUCCGAAACUGCAUUCGAUACUGCCGUGCUUGAGGACUGGAGAGGAGACUGGAAUUUACGGUGUAGCGGUGAAAUGCGUAGAUAUCAGGAGGAACACCCGUGGCGAAGGCGGCCUUCUGGGGCAUUCCUGACACUGAGAAGCGAAAGCUAGGGGAGCAAACAGG